rnacentral:rRNA from 1 species
GAUGAACGCUGGCGGCGUGCCUAAUACAUGCCAGUCGAGCGAACAGAUGAGGAGCUUGCUCCUCUGACGUUAGCGGCGGGCGGGUGAGUAACACGUGGAUAACCUACCUAUAAGACUGGGAUAACUUCGGGAAACCGGAGCUAAUACCGGAUAAUAUAUUGAACCGCAUGGUUCAAUAGUGAAAGACGGUUUUGCUGUCACUUAUAGAUGGAUCCGCGCCGCAUUAGCUAGUUGGUAAGGUAACGGCUUACCAAGGCAACGAUGCGUAGCCGACCUGAGAGUGUGAUCGGCCACACUGGAACUGAGACACGGUCCAGACUCCUACGGGAGGCAGCAGUAGGGAAUCUUCCGCAAUGGGCGAAAGCCUGACGGAGCAACGCCGCGUGAGUGAUGAAGGUCUUCGGAUCGUAAAACUCUGUUAUUAGGGAAGAACAAAUGUGUAAGUAACUAUGCACGUCUUAACGGUACCUAAUCAGAAAGCCACGGCUAACUACGUG